GUCCAGUCCAGCCGGGGUUAAUGGGAUAUGUUAUGUCCAGUCCAGGAGUGGUUAAUGGGGUAAGUAAUGACCAGUCUAGCAGGGGUUAAUGGGAUAUGUAAUGUACAGUCCAGGAGGGGUUAUUAAUGGUGUAUGUAAUGACCAGUACAGGAGGGGUAAUGGUGUAGGUAAUGACCAGUCCAGGAGGGGUUAAUGGAGUAUGUAAUGACCAGUCCAGCAGGGGUUAAUGGUGUAUGUAAUGACCAGUCCAGCAGGAGUUAAUGGGAUAUGUAAUGACCAGAAGGGGUUAAUGGGAAAUGUAUUGACCAGUCCAGCAGCGGUUAAUGGGAUAUGUA